rnacentral:rRNA from 1 species
CCUACGGGGGACAGCAGUGAGGAAUAUUGGUCAAUGGACGCAAGUCUGAACCAGCCAUGCCGCGUGCAGGAAGACGGCUCUAUGAGUUGUAAACUGCUUUUAUAAAGGAAUAAAGUGAGGCACGUGUGCCUUUUUGUAUGUACUUUAUGAAUAAGGAUCGGCUAACUCCGUGCCAGCAGCCGCGGUAAUACGGAGGAUCCGAGCGUUAUCCGGAUUUAUUGGGUUUAAAGGGAGCGUAGGCGGAUUGAUAAGUUAGAGGUGAAAUGUCCGAGCUUAACUCGGGAACUGCCUCUAAUACUGUUGAUCUAGAGAGUAGAUGCGGUAGGCGGAAUGUAUGGUGUAGCGGUGAAAUGCUUAGAGAUCAUACAGAACACCGAUUGCGAAGGCAGCUUACCAAUCUAUAUCUGACGUUGAGGCACGAAAGCGUGGGGAGCAAACAGGAUUAGAUACCCUAGUAGUC